rnacentral:rRNA from 1 species
UACGAGGGGGGCAAGCGUUGUUCGGAAUUAUUGGGCGUAAAGGGCGCGUAGGCGGCUCAUGAAGGCUGUGGUGAAAGUCCGGGGCUCAACCUCGGAUCGGCCGUGGCGACUCGUGGGCUGGAGCACUGUAGAGGCGGGUGGAAUUCCGGGUGUAGCGGUGGAAUGCGUAGAGAUCCGGAGGAACACCAGUGGCGAAGGCGGCCCGCUGGGCAGUGGCUGACGCUGAGGCGCGACAGCGUGGGGAGCAAACAGG